rnacentral:rRNA from 1 species
UUGACCUCGGAUCAGGUAGGACUACCCGCUGAACUUAAGCAUAUCAAUAAGCGGAGGAAAAGAAACCAACAGGGAUUGCCCCAGUAACGGCGAGUGAAGCGGCAACAGCUCAGAUUUGGAAUCUGGCCCCCAGGGCCCGAGUUGUAAUCUGGAGAGGAUGCUUCUGGCGCGGCGCCUUCCGAGUUCCCUGGAACGGGACGCCGGAGAGGGUGAGAGCCCCGUACGGUUGGACGCCUAGCCUUUGUGAAGCUCCUUCGACGAGUCGAGUAGUUUGGGAAUGCUGCUCAAAAUGGGAGGUAAAUUUCUUCUAAAGCUAAAUACCGGCCAGAGACCGAUAGCGCACAAGUAGAGUGAUCGAAAGAUGAAAAGCACUUUGAAAAGAGGGUCAAACAGUACGUGAAAUUGUUGAAAGGGAAGCGCCCGUGGCCAGACUUGUGCCCCGCGGACCACCCGGCGCCCUCAGCGCCGGUGCACUCCGCGGGGCGCAGGCCAGCAUCGGUUUUCCUAGGGGGAUAAAGGCGGCGGGAACGUGGCUCCUUCGGGAGUGUUAUAGCCCGUCGUGCCAUGCCCCUGGGGGGACCGAGGACCGCGCUUCGGCAAGGAUGCUGGCGUAAUGGCCACCGGCGACCCGUCUU